rnacentral:misc_RNA from 1 species
GUUCUUUUUACUUUUUUGUUUAACUGACGAAGAUCGAAAAUGUUCUUACAAUAUUAAAUUAUUUGCUGGAGUAUUUAAAAAGAUGUAUCAAGCCUGUACUGGAACUGUAAGUUGAUAUCUAUAUCCACAUUUGAAAUUAUAAUCUUGGAUGGAAAGAAAAUAACGGCUCCGCAGAAUAUUCCGUAUACUCAGGCUUAUUGUAUUGUUAACAAUUGUCUUCGGCAAGUCCCUUUGGUUGGAAAACGUAAACGUGAAGCCGGUGCCACAAAGUUAUCUGGUGUGCGUGCAGUUUCCUAAAUGGAAAAUAUUAAUGCGAUUACUUGAUCCGCAGCAUACCGAUGCAAAUUAGUUCUAUUACAUAGUUCCAUUGUUAUGCCAAAAUAGUUAAAUCUACUAAUCGAGUUCGUGUUUCCUAUUAAAAUUUGUAUUAAAUAAUAUAUGUUAUUAAUACUA